rnacentral:rRNA from 1 species
UACGGAGGGUGCAAGCGUUAAUCGGAAUUACUGGGCGUAAAGUGCACGCAGGCGGUCUGUUAAGCUAGAUGUGAAAGCCCCGCGCUCAACGUGGGAUGGUCAUUUAGAACUGGCAGACUAGAGUUUUGGAGAGGAGAGUGGAAUUCCAGGUGGAGCGGUGAAAUGCGUAGAUAUCUGGAGGAACAUCAGUGGCGAAGGCGACUCUCUGGUCAAUAACUGACGCUCAGGUGCGAAAGUGUGGGUAGCGAACAGG